rfam:Schistosoma rodhaini strain Burundi genome assembly, scaffold: SROB_scaffold0000429
AUCCAGCUGACGAGUCCCAAAUAGGACGAAAGGUGUAUCAAACUGGAU